rnacentral:rRNA from 1 species
AAAUUGAAGAGUUUGAUCAUGGCUCAGAUUGAACGCUGGCGGCAGGCCUAACACAUGCAAGUCGAACGGUAACAGGAAACAGCUUGCUGUUUCGCUGACGAGUGGCGGACGGGUGAGUAAUGUCUGGGAAACUGCCUGAUGGAGGGGGAUAACUACUGGAAACGGUAGCUAAUACCGCAUAACGUCGCAAGACCAAAGAGGGGGACCUUCGGGCCUCUUGCCAUCGGAUGUGCCCAGAUGGGAUUAGCUAGUAGGUGGGGUAACGGCUCACCUAGGCGACGAUCCCUAGCUGGUCUGAGAGGAUGACCAGCCACACUGGAACUGAGACACGGUCCAGACUCCUACGGGAGGCAGCAGUGGGGAAUAUUGCACAAUGGGCGCAAGCCUGAUGCAGCCAUGCCGCGUGUAUGAAGAAGGCCUUCGGGUUGUAAAGUACUUUC